CACGGGCCCUGACCUGACCCCAAAAAAAAGUAAUACUAAUAAUAAGAGUAAAAAAAAACAAAAAAGAUUUCUUUCCGGUGGGUCAAUUUUCAGACAUUUUCUUGAGGCACAUUUGUAUUUGCUAACAGUAAAUGUGCUUGUGUGACUUGCAGCACAAGCAGAACGCCGUGCAACAUCUUUGAUACCUGUGGUGACAACACUCAUGAGAGCUGAACCUUACCAGGCUUCAGUGUGUCUACUUUCCCGCAGAAGUCAGCCAGCUCAUUAUUAAGGAUGAUGCCCGUACGUGGGGAGUAAACGCCUCCUCCGAAUCUAGAGCAAAACAUGAUGACAAUCUUCAUAUUUCAGGACAUUUCCAACAAGCGUCUCCUCACAGAUGGUUGAUGGUGCUGGUGGCAGAGACGGCCAGUCCGUCUUCAUCCAGCACGGAUACUUGCGACGUUCCCGUGUGAUCGGGCGGCGGCUUGACGUUGGAGUAAUACGACGGCGGGGAAUGUGGUGUCAUGGAGAACCCUGUAAAAAAAUACAAACACUAUUUGGAUAUUCAGCUUCUUUGCUUAACUAACAUGAAAUGAGAGAGGAGAAACCUUGCAUGAUCUUGAGGAUAAAGGCAAGCAGGGCGCCCCCAGCAGGCGGUGGAGGGAUGUGCAUCAGCCUGUCCCCCAGAGGAACUGUCCACGCGUCCACCACCCUUGUCCGAAUCUUCCCCAGGUGAGGAGGCACCUGGAGGCCCUCUCUGGCCAAUCUUACGGGCUCCUCGAAGAGCUUGGACCACGGCAGCUUGCCAUAGCGCUUGUGAAGGGCCUCGUAGCCCCGCAGCUCACCGGGAACUCCAAUCCACUGACUACCUUGGAGUGCACAAUAUCGGAAAUGAGCCUCCACCGAGUCCCAUACUCUGAGGGUAGACCACGGCGGUGCACAGGAGGGCCGCGAUGGCGCCGUCCACUGCCGAGCCGCCCUGCUGCAACAUGUUCCUGGAAGACAUUCAGGUAUGCGUGGGGGCGUUCGUGUACACUCCAGUAAAAAGGACAUAAACCAUGCACAAGUUUCGAUUGUUUGACAGCAUGAAGUUAAAAUGACUGGAUAUGUGAAAUAUGUCAGAUAAUUAUUCUUG